rnacentral:lncRNA from 1 species
UUGUUGUAAAUUUAGAGGAAUAAGUGACAUGCUUUCUACAUAUUUAAAUAGAUUAAAUAUACUAAUUCCGAAUAAAACAAGCAUAUAACUCAGAUAAAUGCCAUAUGUAAUUAUAACAGCAAUGAACAGUAGCAAUUCCAGGACAUGAAAACAUGUAAUAUAGCUACUCAAAUCCAUUUGCAAAUUAAACAUGGCAGGUAGAUGAAGAAGGCAGAUUAAACAAAUAAACAUGAUUGUUUAUAUUAAAAUAUUGCUCUCAAAAUAGCGGGUUGCUGCAAUAGACAGCCCUCCAACGCUAAAGGGUGAUCAAAGAUCCUCGACUAACGUGACAGUCCUAUCUUACCAAAUCAGGGUUUUAGAUCAAAUAUUAUGAGCCUAGAAAUCAAGCAUGAAUAUUAAGAUCAAAACAGUGUGCAUAAGAAUUAAGGAACAAUAAUGAACUUAAAUAAUCAGCUUGCACAAUAGUAAGAAAUAACUAGGCACAAAUAAUAUCAAUGCUGAAAAUAACAACACACUAAAACUCAGACUGUCACGUCGUCUCACUACACCGCUAUCAUCAUCGAGCACAUAAUCCGCCCACAAAUUGUGCAAUCACACCCAAGUAAAUAAUACUAGCAGAUAGCACAAAAUUAUUCAAUAAAUAAAUAGAGGCAACGGGUAACUCACAACACGUAGAUUGUCUACGUGGGAAGACCAGCUCAGCGAACACGAGGUUCUGUCCCAGAAAACCAAUUCCGCCGCCCACGUCCGGACCUGCACGGCGGGAGGUUGACGGAGAUACUGGAGCCGCUGCCGGAGCCGAGGGAGACGUCCUCGGCACCGGCCCGAGAAGAGGAACACCGCGUAGCAGGGAGCCCAAGCACCAGGCCACGGUGGACAACAAUCAGAGCCGACAGAGCACUACACAGGAGCACUGGUAAUGCAACUGAGCGCACACAGACCAAGCUGCACGAGCGCUGGGAUCACCUCUACCCUCUUCCAAUCACCACCAGCGAGAAUCACAACAGAAGAUCGAACAAAUCGAUCGAGAUUCGAUUGGAGCAGUGAACUGGGAGAGAAGGCUGAUACGAGCGUAUGCUGAGAGAGAUGAUUAACGGCCAGGGGAUCGAACUCCCAUUUAAGGAGCUGAGAGGGGAGAAGGCAAACGGAUUUCACCGAGAUUCCGGACGAACGAGCCGCGCGGAUCGUAAUCCAUUGAACGCCGCCGCCACCCAGACGCUCGGCCUUCUCCGAAUCGCCUCCGCUCGUGCCUUGCGCACGCUCGAUCCCUACUCCCUCUACCAGCCUGCUUUCAGCCGUUCGAUACAUGCGCAUGCACGCGAUGGGGAUCGGCCAGCCGGCUGGGCUGCUCGGCAGCGGCCUGCCAGCGGCCCAGCUCUGCUGGCCUUUUUUCAUUUUUUUUUAAUUUCCCAAUAUGAAAAUAAAAGGGAAAAUCUCUCAUAAAUGAACAGCAAUCCCCACCAUUUUCACUCUUAUUUUCUGAUCAAUGUCAAUGAGCUCCCGUACUGUUUAUAUACUACUUUUCGGCAGAGGUACUUGUUAGGUUUGAACCAAAGCCUAUCCCAGUGUGUUCCAACCCUGCACGAGUAAGCGGAGGACUACGCCUUGAUCCACAAACCCUAGUGUGAGAAUCUUCGCACAAAAGGCACAUAGUACUAGGCAGAUUAUCUGCUUCUCUUACGGGGCAGGGCGUUACGGUCAUGCCCUUUAGUAUCUAUUCAUGAGCUCACUAGAGAGAAAACCCCAUUCUCUCCUGGACUGCGACCCCACAGUCAACUCAUAUAGGUGAAAUCAUUAAGGAAAUUCUGUAGGACAAUUUCCCUGCUUAUAGCAUUGACUUCAUUAAGAGCAUAUCGCUCAACCUGCCAUACAGACAGAGCACAGCAGCUCAUGAGACUCUUUAUCUUUUGUGCUCUUGGUUUCACAGUGCUUCGUUUCCUGGAGCCUGGAUCUCGGGAUCUCCGGUCACACAGGACAGUUAUCCGCAGUUGAAACCGCUAACAGGGUACGAGUCCCAUUCCCAUGCACGCUGCUUGGAUUGGCUUUUGAGCCAGCCCUUUGGUGAAAGGAUCAGCAAGGUUCCUUUCAGACUUGAUGUAAUCUACUGUUAUUACACCCGUCUCUCUAGCAUGCCGACAUGAAUCAAGUCGUCUUCUGAUAUGCCUCGAGGAUUUUUGGUUGUCCUUUCUACUGUUCACUUUUAGCAACACAGAAGUGUUGUCACAGUAUACUAGGACAGCCGGUAUCGGCUUUGCUAGCAUUGGAAGGUCUGACAACAGGUCUCUCAACCAUUCAGCCUCCAAUGCUGCUGAAUCAAGUGCAACUAAUUCAGCCUCCUUGGUGGAACGUGUCGACACUGAUUGUUUAGACGAUCUCCAUGACACGGCCCCACCAGCUAAAGUGAACACAUAGCCACUUGUAGACUUCAUUUGAUCCGAGUCAGAGAUCCAGUUUGCAUCACUGAAUCCUUCAAGUACUGACGGAAAUCCGGUAUAUUUAAUACCAAGAUUCAUCGCUCCCUUCAAAUACCGAAGCACUCUGUACAAGGCUACCCAGUGUCUAUCUCCUGGACUGGCCGAAUAACGAGCCAGUCUGCAUACUGCAUAUGAGAUAUCUGGUCUAGUUGCACUGCUCAGGUACAUGAGAGAUCCGAUGAUCUGCGAAUAUAGUAGCUGGUUCACAGGCUCGCCUUCAUAUUUACUGAGCGUGUAGGAUGGAUCAUAGGGCGUGGUGACUGGUUUACAGUCCAUAUGUCCAAAGCGAGUCAGGACCUUUUCCACAUAAUGGGAUUGUGACAAAGUAAUCCCAUCCUCACCCUUUAUCAGCUUGAUGUUCAGUAUAACAUCAGCUUCACCCAAGUCCUUCAUAUCAAAGUUCUUGGAGAGGAAUAAUUUUGUCUCCAUGAUAGCCUCCAAAUCGGUCCCAAAUAUCAAUAUGUCAUCAACGUAUAAACACAUGAUGACACCUUUGCCCCCAGAGAAGCGAUAAUACACACACUUGUCGGCUUCGUUUACACAAAACCCGGCAGUGGUCAGAGUAUUAUUAAACUUCUCAUGCCAUUGUCUGGGAGCUUGUUUAAGACCGUAUAAGGAUUUAAUCAAGCGACACACUUUGCUCUCUUGUCCUUUAACCACAAAUCCUUCUGGUUGCUACAUAUAAAUUUCCUCUUCCAGCUCUCCAUUUAGGAAUGCUGUCUUUACGUCCAUUUGAUGGACAAGAAGUUUAUAAGCAGCUGCCAGCGCUAAAAGCACACGGAUUGUGGGCAAUCGAGCCACCGGAGAAUAAGUAUCAAAAUAAUCCUCCUCUUUCUUUUGAGUAAAACCCUUAGCCACAAGACGGGCCUUGUACUUUUCAAUAGUACCAUCAGGUCUCCUCUUCCUCCUAAAGAUCCAUUUACAGCCCACAGGCUUGCAACCAGCUGGGAGAUCAGUUAUCUCCCAAGUUCCGUUCGAGAUGAUUGAAUCCAUCUCGCUACGGACAACCUCCCUCCAGUACUCUGCAUCCGGAGAUGUAUAUGCCUCUGUGAGGGAGCGUGGUUCUUCAUCCACUAGAUAGAUAAUAUAAUCAUCACCCAGAGACUUUUCAGUCCUUUGUCUCUUACUCCUCCUUAACUCCAAAUCUGGAGUCUGGUCAUGGACACUCGAGGGCAGAGAAUAUGUCCGAGAUGGACCAUCUGGGGCUACUACUUCCUUAUCCCGCAUAGGGAAGAUGCUCUCAAAGAAUGUCACAUCCCGAGACUCCAUUAUUACAUUUACAGCGAUUUCGCUUGUCUCGGAAUGGACCACUAGAAAUCUAUAAGCUGCACUGUUAUGUGCAUAACCCAAGAAGACACAAUCUACGGUCUUAGGGCCUAGCUUUCUCUUCUUCGGCAACGGGACAUUCACCUUUGCAAGGCAGCCCCAAGUUCGAAGAUGCGAAAGAUCUGGCUUCCUUCCUUUAAAUCCUUCAUAGGGUGUGGCCUCACGGUUGCGAGGCGGCACCCUGUUCAGGACAUAGCACACUGUGAGUACUGCCUCGCCCCACCAGAUGUCAGGCAUCCCCGAACUUUGUAACAAAGCAUUAGCUAAGUCACACACCGUUCGGUUCUUCCUUUCAGCUACCCCAUUUGACUGAGGUGAAUAUGGAGCAGUGGUUUCAUGAAUGAUUCCACACUCUUUGCAGUACUCAUCAAAAAGGUUGGAAAGGUAUUCACCUCCUCUAUCAGACCGUAACCUUUUAAUUUUCUUGUCUAGCUGGUUUUCAACUUCAGUCUUAUAGAUCUUAAAGUGUUCUAGUGCUUCAUCUUUAGUUCUGAGUAAGUAAAUAUAACAGAACCCGGUAGCAUCAUCUAUCAAGGUAAGAAAGUAUCUUUUACCGCCUUUUGUGAUUAUACCAUUCAUCUCACAGAUAUCUGAGUGAAUUAGUUCUAAAGGAGUGGUACUUCUGCCUUCAACCGUAUGAAACGGUUUUCUAGGCUGCUUGGCUUGCACACAAAUACCACAUUUUACACCUUUAACAUGUUUAUAUUCAGGAAUUAAAGACAUGUCACUUAAUCUCUUAAUGGCCUCAAAAUUCACAUGACACAAACGGGAAUGCCAUAUAUUAUUAAUGGAAUCGUUAUUACAGACCACAUUAACAUGGUAAGAAGAAUGAUUAUUCAAAACAGAAAGACAGAACAAACCGCCUGACUCAUAUGACUUUCCAACAAAAGUACCAAACUUAGACAGGACCACUUUAUUAGACUCAAACACUAAUUUGAGACCCUGUCGACAUAGCAGCGACACUGAAAUGAGGUUCCGGCUCAUCGAUGGCACAUAGAGUACGUCCUUCAGCACGAGCGUCUUUCCUGAAGUUAACUUCAGGUAGACCUGUCCAGUACCUCGAACUGCUGCCGGAACACCAUUUCCCAUCAAGACUGGUGCGCUGUUGUAUCCCUGGAAUGAAGAGAACAUGGAUCGAUCAGCACAAAUAUGAACAGUAGCACCAGAAUCCAUCCACCAGUCAUCUGAUGGACUUGCCAUAAAGGCCUGAGGUGCAUACCCUGGGGUGGAGUUAACCACCACGUUCCCUUCUUUGCGCUGAGGUGGAGGACCUUUUCCCUUCCUGAGUUUGCAUCUCCGAGCUGUAUGCCCGGAGACACCACAAACGUAGCAGAUAAAGUCCUCCUUUUUCUUCUUCAUCUUUUUGGACUUAGGUUGGUUCAUAUUCUUCUGUGGAGAGUUCUUCUUCUUCUGGAAUUUUCUAUCUCCACCCUUCUCAACAACGUGAGCCUGGAGUUGCUGGGAUAGCUUGUUACUGGACCUUGCACGCUCUUCCACAUUAAUCGCAGCUGACAACUCAGUGAGAGUCAAUUGCUUCUUCAUGUGGCGGCGUGAAGUCACAAAGUCUCGCCAAGAAGGCGGGAGCUUUGCCAGUAUUGCAUUCACCUGAAAACUGUCUGGUAGGACGCAACCAUAUUGGACCAAGUCCCUAACAAGGAGUUGAAUCUCCUGUAGCUGCUCCAUAACAGACCUUCCCUCAACCAUUUUAUAGUUGAGGUAGUUUUCCGUUGUGAAUGACUCAUUGCCAUUGUCAACUUCAGAGAACUCGUUCUCAAGUUCAGUCCAUAGACCCUUGGCGGAGGUAAAACGAGAGUACACGUCAAAUAAGCGGUUCGACAAGACGUUCAGCAGACGAGACAAACAUGCCUCAUUGGCUUCAUCCCACUUGGCCUUCUCCGCUAGUGCGGCGGCCUUCGCUGCAUCAUCAGAAUCAUCUGAUGCAGCCUGGGGAACAGCCGAUGUCACUACCCAAAAUAAUUUUAGGUCAGUGAGCCACAUGCGAGUCUUAAUCUGCCAGCGCUUAAAGCUUGCGCCGUCGAACGCUUCAGGCUUAAUGACAUCCGAACUGGAGGCCAUAAUAGGAGUUGGUUUUCUGGAUUGUUGUAAAUUUAGAGGAAUAAGUGACAUGCUUUCUACAUAUUUAAAUAGAUUACAUAUACUAAUUCCGAAUAAAACAAGCAUAUAACUCAGAUAAAUGUCAUAUGUAAUUAUAACAGCAAUGAACAGUAGCAAUUCCAGGACAUGAAAACAUGUAAUAUAGCUACUCAAAUCCAUUUGCAAAUUAAACAUGGCAGGUAGAUGAAGAAGGCAGAUUAAACAAAUAAACAUGAUUGUUUAUAUUAAAAUAUUGCUCUCAAAAUAGCGGGUUGCUGCAAUAGACAGCCCUCCAACGCUAAAGGGUGAUCAAAGAUCCUCGACUAACGUGACAGUCCUAUCUUACCAAAUCAGGGUUUUAGAUCAAAUAUUAUGAGCCUAGAAAUCAAGCAUGAAUAUUAAGAUCAAAACAGUGUGCAUAAGAAUUAAGGAACAAUAAUGAACUUAAAUAAUCAGCUUGCACAAUAGUAAGAAAUAACUAGGCACAAAUAAUAUCAAUGCUGAAAAUAAC